AGAAGCGACUGAACAUACACAUCUCACCACCCCCAUCCCCAUCAGAAUAGCCUGGAAGAAGUACAUGUUCUCUGCUCCUUCAAGCCUUAAGAUCCCUGUGUGGCAGUUUUCUGUCUGCCAGCACUACCUGGCACUAGCUGAGUGAUUUCAGUGGCAUAAUAUUAAGAAGCCCAAAGACCUCCAGUCAUACUUUCCAACCAAGCCUUUUUGAUUUUAAAUAAUGGUGAUAUUCCCCCUCCAUUCAAUUCCUAUGCCUUUUAAUUGGUUCAGAAUGUGGUCAGGGAAAAGGAAUCCAAUUGAUUGGGUGUCCUGCUGAGUGUCCCCCUCAAAAUCAGACAAGGCUCCUCUGGCUGGUCCUCAGCAGCCACCUGGCAUGGAUAAAGAUCUGCUCUCGUACAUUGUGAAACUCCUUUCUUCCUAUUCCUGCACCAUGGCCAACAUCCCAGUUGAAUCUUCAGUCCCGUGAUGAUGCCAUUCAGGAGGACUUCGUUGGGACGUCCUCAUGGACGCUGGCAGCCCCUGCCUUCUGGGCUGGAAGGUUAACAGCUGGAGUCCCUGGCUCCCACCCGAGGCGCUGCUGCAGUGAGCAUCUUCCUUGCCAGACAGCAGCCUGGUGUUCUGCAUUGCCAGCUCAUUAGAGGAUGUCACCGAGAAAUGUAAAGCAGCUCAACUCCAGCAUCCUCCACUCUCUCUGGUUCCCUCAGCACAGAAUAUCAGAGCUGGAGCCUGCUGAUCCGAUUCCAUCGCUGUGGCAGGGGAAGUUUUUACUGAGCUCACUCAGGUGACUGUGGGGCUGAAAAAAGAAGCCACUCCUUUUUGGGAGGUGGGGAAGCAGUUUGCAGACAGCAGGUGCGUGUCCACCCUCUCCUCUAUAUCCUACGUGUUCCAAAAAAGGGUUUAAGGCUGUUCUCAACCCGACAUGCUUCACUUUAAAUCCAAGAUACAUGACUCCAAGACACUGAUGUUUUUAAAAAAAGGAGAAAUUAGAGAUAAAAAUUCCCUAUGUAAAAGAAUUCUUGACCUUAAAAAAAUCGAUGUUUCUUCUGACUUCUCAAUACAAUUUAAGAUACCUAAAUUUAAAGUAAAGGAAGAGUCCUCUUUAUUGGGAGAUUCAGAAUGGCCUCCUGAUGUUUUUUAAACUUUCCACCAAAUACCUGAUACUGGAAGACCAGGACUUUGCAUCCCAGAGGUCUAAGGGAAGGGGGCUGGGGAGAUAGCUCAGUUGGUAGAGUGCUUGCCUUGUAAGCACAAGGCCAGGGGUUCGAUCCCCAACACCAAAAAAAAAAAAAAAAAAAAAAA